UACGUAGGGUGCGAGCGUUGUCCGGAAUUAUUGGGCGUAAAGGGCUCGUAGGCGGUUUGUCGCGUCGGGAGUGAAAUCCAUUGGCUUAACUGGUGGCUUGCUUUCGAUACGGGCAGACUGGAGGUAUGCAGGGGAGAACGGAAUUCCUGGUGUAGUGGUGAAAUGCGUAGAGAUCGGCAGGAACACCCAGGGGGAAACCAGCCGACUGGGC
rnacentral:rRNA from 1 species